UAGUAUGUUUGUUUGGGACGCGGCUCGCUCUGUCACAGGCCGCGUGUUUGGGUAAUCCUGGCGGGCUGCCGGCGACCUGCGCAAGGCACGCCCACAAGCCCAACCGCCGUAUAACGGUGAGGAUCUGCCGAUCUGGGCGACCUAGGGACGUCUAGUGAGGCCAAUGCGUUCACUCAGCUCAGCAGCGCCAGAGAACGGCGGAGUGGGGACAGCUUUCACACCGUCACGCGAUCGAGGUGCUCGACGAAAUGGCCACUUGGCGAGGCUCACUCAAGGGGGCCGUUCGUUCAGAAGACAGCAGCCAUUCAUCUUUGGCUCAGCGGAGAGGUCGCUUCAGGAUGCCAGAGGUCGUGCCCCAGGUUGUUGAUGUGCAAGAGCCAAAGAGCAGAGGAGUGAUAUGGAAAGUCAGUGAGACCUGUGUUCCAUGUCAAUGCGACAAUGUCCUGCACAGAAUAUGAAGGCAGCCGUGCACAGAUACUGAAAUGAAAAUUUAUGCCAAGUGGAAGAGCUCGUGCAGGACUCGGGGUUUUUAUGGCCAUCACCACCUACCUGCAGGAAGCUUCAUGUUAUUUGUUUAUUUCUGAAGGGGCCAGCUAGGAUGCACUGUUGGUGUGGCGACUAAUGGUAAAUUUGCAAGACAGCUGUUGAAACGGCAUACUUUAGCUUACAUUUGUACUUCAGGUCAAAGCUAUUCUUAUCUCAAAAUUAAUGGUUUUCAUAUCAAAAUACCAUAAUAACUAUGCAGAAAAAUCAGGGGUCAGAUAUGUUAAUAUUAGACAAGUGUGUGCACACGCACACACCCAAUGAGAACCCCCAUCUUCAGGAGACUUGUUCAAACAUGUUUAGCAAGGGGUUGGCAUCGCAUCCUCCAACACCUUUGAGAGCAAAAGUUGCUUGUUAAUAAGGCAACGGAACGUCAUGUUUAUAAUUUUCAUGUAUUGAUGCUUGUGGAGAAAGGAAAAUAUAGCUCCAUAGUGCAACGUCGCAAGCAACAGAAAUGUAAACAGUCCUUCCUGAGUUACUGAAGGUCACAAGCAAUGCCUGUUUAAGGCUUACUUUUUCGUAACCAUUUCAAAUCAGAAUUGUCAGCAUUGAGCCAUUGACUUCAUUGUUUCCCCUUUGAUAAUGACAAUCCUUAGCAAACUGGAAAGCUCUAUGAAUAAUGAUGAUUUCAAAAAAGCAGAAAGGGAUAGCUAUAGCAGCUUACAGUGAUGACAAGCUUUCUUCACUUAUAGUUGCUGUUCCAUGUUGUGGACAAAUCAAAAGCACAAUGACUUUCUAACUGUUAUCUGACAUGGCAAUGAGUUGUACUAACACCAUACAAGCAUCAAUGGUUUUAAGUCGUAUUUUCCUUUAUGAUGGAAAGUGCAUUUUCCUAUGCUGAAGAUUUUUAAAUUUGACUGCAUUUCAUAACUUUGUGCAUUUUUCCAUGAAUAUCUUCAUAUUUUUAAAACUCUGUAUCAGUCCCUUUCUGCUAAUGGGUUACGAAAUUUCAUCUUGUUGAAUUAUAAAUUUCUCUUCUGCAAGAGAGCAACUACAUAGCCCUAAGUACUGAGUACAUAUUGACAGUCAUUAAACACAAUAGUAUUUAUGAUUUGCAAUAUGGAUUAAACAUUGUUUUAAAUAGUUGGAUUCAAUGAUAGUCACUUUCAGUUGCAAUGUUAGAGCACUUACGGAAAAAACUGGGUCAAAUGGAUUUGACAAGUUGGUGUGUACAUAUCAUCCAUUGAUUGGGCAACCAUCCAGCAUGUUAUAAAUGCAUGAUAGCCAUGUUUAUCGCCUCUUUUUUUUUUGUCAUAUACUUUUAUGAUAAGGAUGAUAUAUGCUGUGCAGAUUUUUCUUGGUCUUAGGUUGAAUUGGUAACUGAUGAAGGUCCCAUGAAUUGACUAUGAGGGCGCUGGUCCCUGGCUUGCUACCGACAAUUUACAAGUACUUUGUAGGACGAUUUACCAACAAUUAUUUUGGUCAAAACACACGUUUAAUCAAUUUUUUGUAUCACUACUAAAUAAUCAGAUGGUCAUACAUGUUUGCCACGGGAAAAAGUAUUUGGUACAGUUUUAUUUUUAUCCUCACAAUCAAACACCAGAGUCAAUUGAACACCACGCGAUGUACAACAGACUGCCUAC